rnacentral:rRNA from 1 species
GACGAACGCUGGCGGCGCGCUUAACACAUGCAAGUCGAACGGAAAGGCCUGCUUUCCCUUGUGGAUUGCGGGUACUCGAGUGGCGAACGGGUGAGUAACACGUGAGUGAUCUGCCCCCAACUUGGGUAUAAGCCUGGGAAACUGGGUCUAAUUCCCGAUAGGACUGCAGGGUGGUGCCUGUGGUGGAAAACGAUUUUCUAGUGGUUGGGGAUGAGCUCGCGGCCUAUCAGCUUGUUGGUGGGGUAAUGGCCUACCAAGGCGGCGACGGGUAGCCGGCCUGGGAGAGUGGACGGCCACAUUGGGACUGCGAUACGGCCCAGACGCCUACGGGAGGCAGCAGUGGGGAAUAUUGCACAAUGGGCGGAAGCCUGAUGCAGCGACGCCGCGGGGGGGAUGACGGCCUUCGGGUUGUAAACUCCUUUCGACCGCGAGGAAGCCACCUGGUUGGAAGGGUGGUGACGGUAGUGGUAGAAGAAGCACCGGCUAACUACGUG